ACUAAGAAUGGUCCUAGAGGCUAGAUAUUGUGUAGUUUUGUAUCUUUGGUUACAGUAGCAGCUCGCUAGUUGCACAGCUUAUACAUCAAAUCUCAUAACAUACAAUUAACAAACAAAGCUCGGAAGUAAUGUGCCAUUUCCCAAAAUGCGA